rnacentral:rRNA from 1 species
GCUCGAGUGGCGAACGGGUGAGUAACACGUGAGUAACCUGCCCUUGACUUUGGGAUAACUUCAGGAAACUGGGGCUAAUACCGGAUAGGAGCUCCUGCUGCAUGGUGGGGGUUGGAAAGUUUCGGCUGUUGGGGAUGGACUCGCGGCUUAUCAGCUUGUUGGUGGGGUAGUGGCUUACCAAGGCUUUGACGGGUAGCCGGCCUGAGAGGGUGACCGGCCACAUUGGGACUGAGAUACGGCCCAG